UGAUCCAGCAAUGCCGCGUGAGUGAAGAAGGCCUUCGGGUUGNNAAGCUCUUUNNGUCGAGAAGAAAAGAUUACUGAUAAUACCAGUNAUCCAUGACGGUAUCGACAGAAGAAGCACCGGCUAACUACGUGCCAGCAGCCGCGGUAAUACGUAGGGUGCGAGCGUUAAUCGGAAUUACUGGGCGUAAAGGGUGCGCAGGCGGUUAUGUAAGUCAGAUGUGAAAUCCCCGGGCUUAACCUGGGAACUGCGUUUGAAACUACAGGACUAGAGUGUGGCAGAGGGGGGUGGAAUUNCAUGUGUAGCAGUGAAANNNNGUAGAGAUAUGGAAGAACAUCGAUGGCGAAGGCAGCCCCCUGGGUUAACACUGACGCUCAUGCACGAAAGCGUGGGGAGCAAACAGGAUUAGAUACCCUGGUAGUCCACGCCCUAAACUAUGUCAACUAGUUGUCGGGUCUUAUUAGACUUGGUAACGUAGCUAACGCGUGAAGUUGACCGCCUNGGGAGUACGGUCGCAAGAUU
rnacentral:rRNA from 1 species